UAGAGAAAUAAGUUAAAAAUAAAACUAUCUGGUUCAUACUCAGGCAAUACUUUUAGUUUUCUCUAU
rnacentral:tRNA from 1 species